rnacentral:pre_miRNA from 1 species
UGAUGAUGAUGAUGAUGAUGAUGGUGAUGAUGAUGAUGAUGAUGAUGAUCAUUACUAUUACUAUCAUCAUCAUCAUCAUCAUCAUCAUCAUUAUUA